rnacentral:rRNA from 1 species
AGGGAAUAUUGCGCAAUGGACGGAAGUCUGACGCAGCGACGCCGCGUGAGCGAUGAAGGCCUUCGGGUUGUAAAGCUCUGUCCUUGGGGAAGAAGGUCUUCGGACUUGACGGUACCCAAGAAGAAAGCCCCGGCUAACUACGUGCCAGCAGCCGCGGUAAUACGUAGGGGGCGAGCGUUGUCCGGAACUACUGGGCGUAAAGGGUGCGUAGGCGGCCCUUUAAGUCAGAUGUGAAAGCCCGCAGCUUAACUGCGGAAUUGCAUUUGAAACUGGAGGGCUUGAGUGUCGGAGAGGGUAGUGGAAUUCCCAGUGUAGCGGUGAAAUGCGUAGAUAUUGGGAGGAACACCAGUGGCGAAGGCGACUGCCUGGACGAUAACUGACGCUGAGGCACGAAAGCUAGGGGAGCAAAC